rnacentral:lncRNA from 1 species
UGCAAACGGAUCUGCCGGUUCACCAAUCAUUGAUGGCUCGAGAACCGCUAAACCUACAUUACAUGCAAUAGUACCUAGAAUUACUACUGGAAAAAUAUAUAAAAGAUCGUUGGGCCGUGCGGGUUCCCCGUAAUAAUUAUGUCCCAUCCCUUUAGCUAAUUUAGCUCUUAAUACAGGAUCAUUUAAGUCUGGUUUCUUUGUUAUUGGGAUAGGUGAACUCUUUAGGAUCCAUCCCCCAAAGGAACCGGACAUGAGAAUUUAUCAUCAUCCGGCUCGAGCAAGAGUGAAAGAAAUAAGACCGCGGAAGAUCCUUAAUAGAAUUAAGGUUUAUAAUGACUCAAUGACUCUAGGCAAGAAAAGCUUUAUCAGAUUCUCUUUUCCGAAGUUGCACCUACAACUACUCAUUGAAAAUAAUCCUAUUCUUAUGGGUAAAUGCUCAAUAUCCAAGUGGGCUUACAAAUUUGAUCAUGAUCAAUUGCUUUGUGGAUUGUCUCAUGUCUCUUGAUUAGUUGGUAUUUAUCCCCUCAAUAUCGCAAGUUUCUUACCUCCAAACAAAAUAUUUACUUGUUACUAAUAAAAAAUCAAAAAGUUUAGCCUACAUUCUUCCUUAGAUCCCUUCUUUUACUCCGAUAGUAUUGCGGAUCACAAUCGAUGCAAAGAAAAUGAAUGCAUUUCCAUACUAUAAUAAAAAGGUAAGUGUAAUAAAUAGAGAACUGGAUCAUGUCACAUGACUUAUUCCAUUUCUACUCUAUGGGAUCUUACGGAGCCUGUUCAUGGAUGACAUGGUUGCGAUAUGAUCAUAGAAGAUAUUCUCCUCAAGUGAACCAGCCUAUCCUUCCUAGGUAGGGGACUUACAUGUUGAUUGGAUGCGGAGACACCUUUGGUUGUGAAUUCUAAUGUGGCAGAUCCAAUUCUUUAUCUGCAUGGCCAAAUCAAUAAUUCAAGUCACACACUCCCAUAAUCCGCCUUUUUUCUUUCGUAAAAUUAACUUCAACUAUUUGUAUUGUAUAAAAAUACUUUGGAGUUGAAGAGAAGUAUCCAAAUGACAUGUGUUAUUUUACAAUAACCCAUGCUUGUAGCAAUGAAAUACCAAAACCUACCCGAUAUGAUAUAUGAUAAUUAUAAUUCUCUAUGAUAUGCCUUCCCUAUAAAGGACCCGAAAUACCUUGCUUACGUAUCAUUGGAAAGUGCAUUAACAUAAAUUCGGCAGUAAGCAGAGGCAGUACAAAGGUAUGUCAACUAUAAAAACGAGUCAAAGUGGAUUGGCCCACACUAGCACUUCCGCGUAAUAACUCCACUAAAGGCGAUCCUAUUACCGGAAUGGCGUCAGGUACACCUGUCACAAUUUUGACUGCCCAAUAGCCAAUUUGAUCUCAAGGCAAAGAAUAACCAGUUACACCAAAUGAUGCAGUCAAAACAGCCAAAACCACACCUGUGACCCAAGUUAAUUCACGGGGUUUUUAAAAUCCCCCUGUGAGAUACACACGAAAUACAUGCAGGAUUAUCAUUAAAACCAUCAUACUUGCUGACC